GCAUUGCCGGUCUUCUCAUUGCCUGGCUGCUAGAGGAAACCCGAAGUCGGGAUUCUUUCUUUCCUGCUCUGAGAGGGACCAGGUCCCUCCUCCGUAGCUUUUGUCUCUCUAUUGCCUGCGCCGUGUCCUGGACUGCUCACGGGAGUUCUGCAGGAGACGCCGGAAUAUCUGGAAGCUGAAAAAUGGAAAUAAAUGGAAAGACCAGAAUAUUGAAGAUCACUACAGAAAUCUAAGGUGACUCCCACGACCAGUGCGGGUCACAGCACAGGCGACAGAAGCUAUGGCAGAGGCACCUGAACCCUCUCGGAGGGGAAAGCCAGGCUCCCAACCUCAGCUCGCCGCCUGGAGCCGGGAACCGAGGAGAGCAGGGCCUUCGCCCUCCCCGAUGGACACUCGGCAGGCCCCGCCCAGCGCCCCUGAUUGGACGAAGCGCCGGGCCCCGCCCCCUCAGCCGUGAGUGACAAUAGAAGCCCUUGGUAACGGGGCUCUGAAAACGGGUUUGACCGGAUCCAGCGAUAGAUUCUUUAAGCCAGAGUUUUGAGUCAGGGUCUCACCCUGUGGCCCAGGCUGCCCUCCAGUGAUGCCAUCAUGACUCAGUGCAACCUCAAACUCCCAGGUUCAAGCGAUCUUCCAUCCUGACCUCCAAAAGGGCUGGAUUAUACACAUAAGCCAUGUCACACUUUAUAUGUUUCUAGGGAAGCUUUUCUAAGAAUAAAUACAUUGGAACU
rnacentral:lncRNA from 1 species